rnacentral:rRNA from 1 species
AUUGAACGCUGGCGGCAGGCCUAACACAUGCAAGUCGAGCGGAUGAAGGGAGCUUGCUCCUGGAUUCAGCGGCGGACGGGUGAGUAAUGCCUAGGAAUCUGCCUGGUAGUGGGGGAUAACGUCCGGAAACGGGCGCUAAUACCGCAUACGUCCUGAGGGAGAAAGUGGGGGAUCUUCGGACCUCACGCUAUCAGAUGAGCCUAGGUCGGAUUAGCUAGUUGGUUGGGUAAAGGCCUACCAAGGCGACGAUCCGUAACUGGUCUGAGAGGAUGAUCAGUAACACUGGAACUGAGACACGGUCCAGACUCCUACGGGAGGCAGCAGUGGGGAAUAUUGGACAAUGGGCGAAAGCAUGAUACAGCCAUGCCGCGUGUGUGAAGAAGGUCUUCGGAUUGUAAAGCACUUUAAGUUGGGAGGAAGGGCAGUAAGUUAAUACCUUGCUGUUUUGACGUUACCAAAAGAAUAAGCACCGGCUAACUUCGUG